CCUACGGGAGGCUGCAGUGGGGAAUAUUGCACAAUGGGCGAAAGCCUGAUGCAGCAACGCCGCGUGAGCGAUGAAGGCCUUCGGGUUGUAAAGCCCUGUCCUCAAGGAAGAUAAUGACGGUACUUGUGGCGGAAGCCCCGGCUAACUACGUGCCAGCAGCCGCGGUAAUACGUAGGGGGCUAGCGUUAUCCGGAAUUACUGGGCGUAAAGGGUGCGUAGGUGGUUUCUUAAGUCAGAGGUGAAAGGGUCCGGCUCAACCGUACUAAGCCGUUGAAACUGGGGAACUUGAGUGCAGGAGAGGAAAGUGGAAUUCCUGGUGUAGCGGUGAAAUGCGUAGAUAUCAGGAAGAACACCAGUUGCGAAGGCAGCACUCCGGACUGUAACUGACACUGAGGCACGAAAGCGUGGGGAGCAAACAGGAUUAGAUACCCGUGUAGUC
rnacentral:rRNA from 1 species